rnacentral:rRNA from 1 species
CGAGCGGAAACGAGUUAUCUGAACCUUCGGGGAACGAUAACGGCGUCGAGCGGCGGACGGGUGAGUAAUGCCUAGGAAAUUGCCCUGAUGUGGGGGAUAACCAUUGGAAACGAUGGCUAAUACCGCAUGAUGCCUACGGGCCAAAGAGGGGGACCUUCGGGCCUCUCGCGUCAGGAUAUGCCUAGGUGGGAUUAGCUAGUUGGUGAGGUAAGGGCUCACCAAGGCAACGAUCCCUAGCUGGUCUGAGAGGAUGAUCAGCCACACUGGAACUGAGACACGGUCCAGACUCCUACGGGAGGCAGCAGUGGGGAAUAUUGCACAAUGGGCGCAAGCCUGAUGCACCCAUGCCGCGUGUGUGAAGAAGGCCUUCGGGUUGUAAAG